rnacentral:rRNA from 1 species
UACGUAGGGCGCAAGCGUUGUCCGGACUUACUGGGCGUAAAGCGCCCGCAGGCGGCCGUGCACGUGGGGCGUGAAAGCGCUCGGCUUAACUGAGCGAGGCCAUCCCAUACGGCGCGGCUCGAGCCGUCCAGAGGCCGGUGGAAUUGCCGGUGUAGUGGUGAAAUGCGCAGAUAUCAGGAAGAACACCCGUGGCGAAGGCGGCUCUCUGGGACGGUACUGACGCUGAGACGCGAAAGCGUGGGGAGCAAACAGG